rnacentral:misc_RNA from 1 species
AACGCACAUUGCGCCUCCUGGUACUCCGGGAGGCAUGCCUGUCCGAGCGUCAUUAUAACCCUCUCAAGCUUAACUGCUUGGUCUUGGAGCUGGAGCGUCCUCAGCGGCGGUCCGCUCCGAAUUCCAAUGGCAGACGACGGUGUCAACGUCAGCGUAGUGAGCAUUUUGCAUCGCGAAGCGUAGUCACCCGUCCAGCCGACACAAACCCUUCUUUCUAGUGUUGACCUCGGAUCAGGUAGGGAUACCCGCUGAACUUAA